rnacentral:lncRNA from 1 species
CUGAGCGGAGGGGCUCGGCCCCGGUCCACUGUCUGGGUGCACGGAAGUUGAGGGGCGAGGUCUUCUACUCUCCAGCAAACUGGAACCAAUUCCUGGCGGUUCCCUGGAGGGUCCUGGCUGUGCGUGUCAGGACGCCUCUCCGCGGCCUUCCUCCGUGAUGAAGUACCCACCAUGAUGCAGUACCCACCAUGAUGCCUGCAGUACCCACCAUGAUGCAGUGCCCACCAUGAUGCAGUACCCACCAUGAUGCCUGCAGUACCCACCGUGAUGCAGUGCCCACCAUGAUGCAGUACCCACCAUGAUGCCUGCAGUACCCACCGUGAUGCAGUGCCCACCAUGAUGCAGUACCCACCAUGAUGCAGUGCCCACCAUGAUGCAGUGCCCACCAUGAUGCAGUACCCACCAUGAUGCCUGCAGUGCCCACCAUGAUGCCUGCAGUGCCCACCAUGAUGCCUGCAGUGCCCACCAUGAUGCAGUACCCACCAUGAUGCCUGCAGUGCCCACCAUGAUGCAGUGCCCACCAUGAUGCAGUACCCACCAUGAUGCCUGCAGUACCCACCGUGAUGCAGUGCCCACCAUGAUGCAGUACCCACCAUGAUGCCUGCAGUACCCACCGUGAUGCAGUGCCCACCAUGAUGCAGUGCCCACCAUGAUGCAGUGCCCACCAUGAUGCAGUACCCACCAUGAUGCAGUGCCCACCAUGA